rnacentral:rRNA from 1 species
CAGUCGCCGCGGUAAUACAGAGGUCUCAAGCGUUGUUCGGAUUCAUUGGGCGUAUAGGGUGCGUAGGUGGCGGUGUAAGUCUAACGUGAAAUCUCGGGGCUCAACCUCGAAAUUGCGUCGGAUACUGCAUUGCUAGAGGAUUGUAGAGGAGAGUGGAAUUCAUGGUGUAGCAGUGAAAUGCGUAGAUAUCAUGAGGAAGACCAGUUGCGAAGGCGACUCUCUGGGCAAUUCCUGACACUGAGGCACGAAGGCUAGGGGAGCAAACGGGAUUAGAGACCCCUGUAGUCCCUGUCUCUUAUAC